rnacentral:rRNA from 1 species
UCCAGACUCCUACGGGAGGCAGCAGUGAGGAAUAUUGGUCAAUGGGCUUACGCCUGAACCAGCCAAGCCGCGUGAAGGAAGAAGGCGCCAAGCGUCGUAAACUUCUUUUGUCGGGGAACAAAGGGCGCCACGUGUGGCGUUGUGAGUGUACCCGAAGAAAAAGCAUCGGCUAACUCCGUGCCAGCAGCCGCGGUAAUACGGAGGAUGCGAGCGUUAUCCGGAUUUAUUGGGUUUAAAGGGUGCGUAGGCGGUCCGGAAAGCAAGGGUAAAAAGCCCGGGGCUCACCCCGGGCGAGCCGUUGAAACUGUCGGACUAGAGACGGCGAGAAGUACGCGGAAUGCGCGGUGUAGCGGUGAAAUGCAUAGAUAUCGCGCAGAACUCCGAUUGCGAAGGCAGCGUACCGGCGCCGGACUGACGCUGAGGCACGAAAGCGUGGGUAUCGAACAGGAUUAGAUACCCUAGUAA